rnacentral:rRNA from 1 species
GAGUCGGACCUGCCCAGUGAAUAAUUUUUAACGGCCGCGGUACUCUGACCGUGCAAAGGUAGCAUAAUCAUUUGCCUUAUAAUUGAGGGCCAGUAUGAAUGGUUUGACGUGAACAAAACUGUCUCUAUAUAAUUUUUUAGAAUUUGAUAUUUAGGUGAAGAAACCUAAAUACUAUUGAAAGACAAGAAGACCCUAUUGAGCUUUAAAAUAAUAAAUUAAAUAUAAUAUAUAACUUUAGAUAUAAAUUUAUUUUUAAAUUUUGGUUGGGGCGACUAUGGAACAAAUAAAGCUUCUUUAUUAUAUUAAAGACUUACAAGUUUAUGAUCCAAAAGAUUUUGAUUAUUGAAAUUAGUUACCGUAGGGAUAACAGCAUCAUUCUCUUUAAGAGUCCUUAUUGAAAAGAGAGUUUGUGACCUCGAUGUUGGAUUAGAAUGCCCCAAAGAUGUAACAGUCUUUAAAGGUUGGUC